rnacentral:rRNA from 1 species
CAGCACCUCAAGUGGUCAGGAUGAUUAUUGGGCCUAAAGCAUCCGUAGCCGGCGCUGUAAGUUUUCGGUUAAAUCUGUACGCUCAACGUACAGGCUGCCGGGAAUACUACAAAGCUAGGGAGUGGGAGAGGUAGACGGUACUCGGUAGGAAGGGGUAAAAUCCUUUGAUCUAUUGAUGACCACCUGUGGCGAAGGCGGUCUACCAGAACACGUCCGACGGUGAGGGAUGAAAGCUGGGGGAGCAAACCGGAUUAGAGACCCGCGUAGUCC